rnacentral:lncRNA from 1 species
CAUUUAUUUAUUAGUUCCUGUUCCUGAAAAGUUAUUAUGACCCUUCUCUUGACAUGGCGUUAAUAAUGUUAGACUAAUAUUAUCCUGUGUUGUUCUGUAUGUUAUAUUCUCUUUUCAUACAUUAAGGAACUAUACUAUAUUUACCGAAGUAUACUAAAUCAUUUUAGUUUUAUACGGACAACACUACCUCUACUGUGAGGACAACACUAAAAAGAGAUUUUGACAGUUAGAGCGCGCGCUUUACAUGCGCUUCCUUGGUGGACUGAUAAACUAUGUUUUCUUACGAUUGAUAUUAAAUUGUGUUUUAAAAGUGAAUACAAGAAGUUAUUGUGAUACGAAUUGACGUUUUAUUUCUGAUUAAGGCUAGGAGAUCAUACCCUAGCUUAUAUCAGAAGCGGGAAGAACAGAAAACGCCUAAUUACCAAUGGGGCGCGAAUGCUCCGAAUACAAUAAAAUUAAUGAUCACGCCACACUAUGCGAAACACUUAAACGAAGACGAGAUGACCACAGCACUGAUUGCUCAACCGCAAUAAUGUAUCAAGGACUUAUCUACUCAAGGAGAACAAAGCGACAUGGUCAACAACUUGUGGAGCCUAUAAUGACGACGACCAGACAAGAUUCUUGUGUGUAGAUUACUGCUUGACACACACUACGCCUGAUGGCGAUUAGACACCUUCUCCGCCGCGAUGCAACAGGUACCCGAGACAUUGGACAAUCAGGUAUAAGCAUUAAUAUUUUUUUUUCUCAUUCCAAUUAAUCCAUGGAAUAGAAAACAAUCAUUUAAUUGCCCAAACAUGUGUAUACAUGCAUACACACGCAGGUGCAUGCAUGUAGGAUAAUACAAUUAUUAAAGGUAUGUGCUUAAAACAUGUUUGCCACUUGUCAUGGCAUACAAAUAUAAAACCAGAAACAUUUAGCUCUAUAUACUAAAAACUAUUUGAGCUGACAUUUCAGAGCUUCGGUACUGAGUUUUCUCUAGGUUAUAGAUAUUUUGUUGUACAUAAUGGGUGCCAUUCAAAAUAUAAUUUAGCACAUAAGUGCAGUUUUACAUGGAUGUGAACAGAGUUUGCUAUUGAUCUAUUUGAUGCAUACAUUUUUAAGGUGAGUAAAUGUACAACAAUAUAUUUCAUUAGACAUCCAUAAACCAGCUGGGAACAUGACAGAUACUCUGAGGUAAACAUUUAUAUCCUGAGUAAUUAUGUAUGGUGUUAUUUUUGCUACACAUUGAAUACAUAAAAUAUUCAUGAGAAAAGAGUAAAUAAAGCAAGUAAAGCUAAUUGCAUAGUUCAUGGGGAUGAUGGCCAAACGAUUUGGUGUUAAUGCAUUAUUUACAUACAUUACUGAAAUAGACAAAGGAAGUACCUAUAAAAAUAAGUAAAUAGGAUAUAACAAUAGGAUAUUCAUGAUAUAAAGCCAAUAUUACAAUAAUUAAAAUUGAAAUAGUCAUAAUCACUUACAAAUAGAGGUAGAAAAUAAAGUGGUUAAUUGACAACCAACAAAAACCGUGCGACACAGCUCUUGACUAUUCUAUGUACAUCCAAAGCGGUGAUAACAGGUAUUAAUAAUGGAUAAUCAAAUACUUUAAAGUACUAUAAACACUAAACUGGUUUUUAUUAAUAAAGUAACUAUGAAACUAAAUGCUUCAAGCCAGUAUGUUUCAGACAGUAAGUAUGUUUUACCAAUAUCUUGGUACUGCCAAUAGCAUACAUCAUUGUUAAGUAAAACUUCAUUCCAAGCAAAUAUCAUUGCUUGUUAUUAUUUUAAAGAGUAUCUAAAGUGAAAAUUAUAAAAAUGGUAAUCUUUUUAAAUGAUCUUUUCCAUAUUAUUAACUGUAAAUUGCCUCACCUAGAAAAAGUUAAACUGCUUAUUCUAUCUGAAUGUUGGAUGAUAUUACAGCUAACAGGUACAUUAUAGGACUGUAACACAUUAAGGAUAGUUUAAUCACAGUAAAGAUGCAGCAAUUGUAGUAAAUAUUAUUUACUUAAAGGAUUUUACAGACUGAAGCAUAAUAAAUAAAUAUAAAUCAGUAGUGUCAAUUAAUCAGAAGAAAAUAUAACUCAGUAGUGUCAGUAAUCUGAGUAGCCAGAUCAGAUAUGUUCUUUUUGAAAGAUUUCAUUUUAAUUUGGAAUCCACCACUUGAUGCUGAGACCAGUUUUCUCAACCAUUAAAAAUAACCCGAAUUGCUUAAAGAUAUGUAUACUAGAAUCAAAUAAAUACAAAAUAAAGAAAUUUCGGCUUUGAAAUCUGAAUCGAAAGCAGUCUAUAUAUUAUUAACUUAAUAAAUGAAUAUUAUAAAUUGGGUCAAUAAGAGAUAGGUUUGAGUUGGAACAAAACAACAUUAGUUAUACAUAAAAUUGUCUGAUACUACACAGGAGCUAUACCAUCAGAAUACAUUAUACCAUACUGAAAAAGAAGUAUGUGAGACAGUUAAAGAAUAAAAGACUAGGCAAUUAAUAAGUAAUUUGUCCUAGCCCAUUAAAAAGUUGAAUGCAUACCAGGGCACUCAGUAGAACAUAUAGAUUAUUAUAAAUAAACUGAACCUGAACUUUUAUGGAUGGUAACGAUACGAGUUAACAUUUCUCUCUAUACUCUCUUUAUGACAGGAAAUCUUGUAAUUUCCUGGGAGGUAAGACAUUUUAUUCUGAGACUAAAUUUCAGCACAUAUUGUAUGUUAGACCUUCUCUCACAGAAAAUUACAUGUACAGUUUAUGAUGAUUUUCUUGAUUGAUGUUGUGAGUCUAUUCUGACCACUUAUAAAAUAGAAACCAAGAUUGUGGAGGAUCAGAGGAGUGAAUUCAGUGGGGUGUCAACAACAUCUUUAACAAGUCAGUAAGUACAACCACAAGUGUUUUACAGUCAACAACUAAGAAAGAGCAUUGCUUAGUAUUUAUUAGUUUUGAACCAUUAAUUGAAAAAAAACUGACUGAUAAAGAACAAUUUAUAUGGUGAUUGGAACUUAUAUUUAAAGAUGAUGACAUCUGGUUAUGUUUAUAUUCAUAUAUAUUUAUUUGCAUUCCAUAAUGUUACAAUAGAUGUUGAAGAGGCUUAAAACUAAGUAGGUACCAUUAUAGGCCCUGUUAGGGCACAGCCAAAGAAGGCAAUACUUUAAGGCACCAUAAAUAAAGAACCAUGAGUUAAACUAGGCUCAGGGGUACUUUGUUGUCACUUUGUUUGUAUUAAAAUUGUUUCUACGCCACCACCUUCAAUUCUGCUUUCGUAUCCCUCAUCAGGGAUAUAGUUCCGAAGGAGCAGAAAGCUUUUCCACUCACGCUUUACAACUUGUAGAGUUAUAAUUUGAUUAAAUGGUAUUAACUAAAAAGAAAAGCUUAAAUUGAGAAGUGUAGUGAUUUUAAUGAAUUGUUAAUUAAUAAAACAAUACCAGACGAAGAAAAUUGAAUGAAUAAAUUAAAGAUUUGUACAAUUUUUACCUUGAUUAUCUGUUAUUAAUUCUUACGAGCCUCUGUAUUGAGAUGUGAAAUGAAUUGAAAGAUUCAUACUAAUUCAGUUUGGUUGUAUUGUUGAAUUAUUGAAAUAAGACUACAUAAAUAAACUUUUGAUAAGUUCAUAGGUUGGAAGGUAUGCACUAUGUACUGUUUUAGCUGGUUCUAUUGUUUGUUGCUGAAAACAAACGACUCGAGGAAGAAAAUGGAUAUUAUGAAUUUAUAUAUUUUAACCACUACAAUAAGGGAUUAACAGAAACAAUUGUAAUGUUGUAACAAUUGUAACUUGUAGUGGUCUGAUUGAGUUUGAUUGUGUUGUUAAAUAAUAAUAAUAGAAGACAUGUAUUGAUUUAGUUCAACCAUAGGCAUUGCUCUAAUACAAAUAAGAGAUGGACAGAGAAAAAUGUAAUUACUUGUACAUUUCUCAUUUUAUUAUGUUGUUAAUUAUUAAAAACUAGCGACUGGAAUGCUAAUAAAGAAUUGAGUAUUGAAUAGACAAGAUAUAUUGUACUAGUUGUGAGAUAACGAAUAUAAAUAAGAGAUGGGCAGAGAAACUGACUAAAGAAUUUGUAUUAGCUACUUUGAUCAUAUUGAUGAUUAAUGGAUACUAAACGAGAUAAAAUAUGUAUACAUAUAUAUUGUAGUCAGAGAUAGAAGAUGUAAUAAAUUGAGAGAUUUGUAUAUUGUCCAGUUUGAGGAUAUUGACAAUUACGAGUCAUUUAUGAUUCUGAAUUUAAUACACGGAAGGAAUUGUGUAAGGACGGUUUUGUGUAAGGAGCCGCUUGUGAUAAUAUUAUUAAUCAAUAUUUAUAGAGAUCUUCAUUGACACAUACCUACUUAAAAAGCUGUGUAUAUUUUUCAUAGCUCUCAAUUCUUCGAAACUAAGUCCUUAAAAAAUAAAUUGUAUAUAUUGUGCCAAUAAAGUGUAAUUGUGAAGUAUAUAAAAUAAGACAGGAUAUUAAGCAAUUGUAUAUUGUAUUGAAGAUCAAUACAAGUGUAGUGACGCAGUUUAUGAAUCUAAGGCUGGAUAUUAAGAAAUUGUAUAUUGUAUUGUUAAUGUACAGCAGUCCAGGUACUGGAUAGAAAGAAGUUGUUUACUGUAAUGAGAAUUAUAUAAGCAGAAGCAAUGUGUAAAUACUGAUUUGCACUUUGAAUUAUGAUAGUGAUAAAUUUUAAUGUGUUAAUAAGGAACAUAAGUUCAGAGACUUUGUAUAAUAGAAGUUUUCUAUUGAAAUAUAAGAAAUGAUAUAAGUAUUUUGAUGCCAAUAUGGUGAUGUUGACUUGUACUGCUUGAAUUUGAAUGAGGUACACAAAUCCAGAGACUGGAUACAUAGGAUUCUUUAUUUAAUGAUAUUUGUUUGUGACUUUAGUUUAUUUAGUGAUAUACAUAAGUAUGUUGUCGUCGAUAUGUUCAUAUUGACUUGUAAUAUUAAAAUUUGAAUGUAUUGAUAAAGUAUGUGUAAGAUAAGAACCGAGACUGGAUAUAAGGAAUUGUUUACUUGAUGGGGAACUAUAUAAAUGAAUUCAUGUCAAUAUGUUGAUUUUGACUUGUAUUGCUUGAAUUUGAAUGUAUUGGUAAGGUACCUACACAAGUCCGGAGACUGGAUAUAGAGAAUUGUUUAUUUAAUGGGGAAUGAUAAAAGUAUAUUGAUGUCAAAAUGUUGAUGUUGACUUGUAAUCGUUGAAUUUGAAUGUAUUUAUAAAGAAAUAAAUCCAGAGACUGGAUAUAAAACAUGUCGAUUAUUGAAAUAGGAAAUGACAUAAGUAUAUAGAUGCCAAUAUGUUGAUGUUGACUUGAAAUGGUUGAAUUUGAAUGUAUUUAUAAAGAAUAUAGAUCCAGAGACUGGAUAUAAAUAAAGUUGAUUAUUGAAAUAGGAUAUGAUAUAAGUAUAUAGAUGCCAAUAUGUUGAUGUUUACUUGUAAUGGUUGAAUUUGAAUGUAUUUAUAAAGAAAUAAAUCCAAAGACUGGAUAUAAAACAAGUCGAUUAUUGAAAUAGGAAAUUAGAUAAGUAUAUAGAUAUCAAUAUGUUGAUGUUGGCUUGUAAUCGUUGAAUUUGAAUGUAUUUAUAAAGAAAUAAAUCCAGAGACUGGAUAUAAAACAUGUCGAUUAUUGAAAUAGGAAAUGACAUAAGUAUAUAGAUGCCAAUAUGUUGAUGUUGACUUGAAAUGGUUGAAUUUGAAUGUAUUUAUAAAGAAUAUAGAUCCAGAGACUGGAUAUAAAUAAAGUUGAUUAUUGAAAUAGGAUAUGAUAUAAGUAUAUAGAUGCCAAUAUGUUGAUGUUUACUUGUAAUGGUUGAAUUUGAAUGUAUUUAUAAAGAAAUAAAUCCAAAGACUGGAUAUAAAACAAGUCGAUUAUUGAAAUAGGAAAUUAUAUAAGUAUAUAGAUAUCAAUAUGUUGAUGUUGGCUUGAAAUGGUUGAAUUGGAAUGUAUUUAUAAAGAAUAUAAAUCCAGAGACUGGAUAUAAAACAAGUCGAUUAUUUAAAUAGGAAAAUAUAUAAGUAUAUAGAUGCCAAUAUGUUGAUGUUGACUUGUCAUGGUUAAAUUUGAAUGUAUUGAUAAGGUACAUAAGUCGAGAGACUUGAUAGAAGGAUCUUGAUGUCAAUUUGUUAACAUGACUAGAAGACGUAGAUAGCUCCAAAUAGGAGUGAAUUCCUCGUUGCAGUCACAGUGAUAGUAAGAUUAACUUACUCUGUUAAACUUGAAUGUUUUGAUAAAGUAUACAAGUCCAAAUACUAGACGUGAAGUUGUUUACCGUAGUAAGAAUUUGUACAAGUAUAUGGUUGCCAAUUUGUUAAAAUGGCAAUGUACACAAGUCACAGUUUGGAUUCAAAAUGAAAUGAAAUGAAAAUAUUCGCAGAAAUUGUUUAUCGUAGUGAGAGUUUAUGCAAUUAUAUUGUUGACGAUUUGUUAGCAUGGCUGGAAGGCGUGGAUGGCUCCAGUUGGAGUGAAGGCCACGAUGCAGUCAUAGUUAGAGAUGGCUGGAAGGCGUGGAUGGCUCCAGUUGGAGUGAAGGCCACGAUGCAGUCAUAGUUAGAGAUGGCUGGAAGGCGUGGAUGGCUCCAGUUGGAGUGAAGGCCACGAUGCAGUCAUAGUUAGAGAUGGCUGGAAGGCGUGGAUGGCUCCAGUUGGAGUGAAGGCCACGAUGCAGUCAUAGUUAGAGAUGGCUGGAAGGCGUGGAUGGCUCCAGUUGGAGUGAAGGCCACGAUGCAGUCAUAGUUAGAGAUGGCUGGAAGGCGUGGAUGGCUCCAGUUGGAGUGAAGGCCACGAUGCAGUCAUAGUUAGAGAUGGCUGGAAGGCGUGGAUGGCUCCAGUUGGAGUGAAGGCCACGAUGCAGUCCUAGUUAAAGAUACGACUCUGGAAGGUUGGCACGAUCGUGAAGCCUUGUUGGUGGACAUCCUCUUGGCUUUGCGGUGAGGGGUCAAAUGCAGAUGUCGUGAGUUGAGAUUGGCUGGAAGGCGUGGAUGGCUCCAGUUGGAGUGAAGGCCACGAUGCAGUCCGUCCUAGUUAAAGAUACGACUCUGGAAGGUUGGCACGAUCGUGAAGCCUUGUUGGUGGACAUCCUCUUGGCUUUGCGGUGAGGGGUCAAAUGCAGAUGUCGUGAGUUGAGAUUGGCUGGAAGGCGUGGAUGGCUCCAGUUGGAGUGAAGGCCACGAUGCAGUCCGUCCUAGUUAAAGAUACGACUCUGGAAGGUUGGCACGAUCGUGAAGCCUUGUUGGUGGACAUCCUCUUGGCUUUGCGGUGAGGGGUCAAAUGCAGAUGUCGUGAGUUGAGAUUGGCUGGAAGGCGUGGAUGGCUCCAGUUGGAGUGAAGGCCACGAUGCAGUCCGUCCUAGUUAAAGAUACGACUCUGGAAGGUUGGCACGAUCGUGAAGCCUUGUUGGUGGACAUCCUCUUGGCUUUGCGGUGAGGGGUCAAAUGCAGAUGUCGUGAGUUGAGAUUGGCUGGAAGGCGUGGAUGGCUCCAGUUGGAGUGAAGGCCACGAUGCAGUCCGUCCUAGUUAAAGAUACGACUCUGGAAGGUUGGCACGAUCGUGAAGCCUUGUUGGUGGACAUCCUCUUGGCUUUGCGGUGAGGGGUCAAAUGCAGAUGUCGUGAGUUGAGAUUGACUGGAAGGCGUGGAUGGCUCCAGUUGGAGUGAAGGCCACGAUGCAGUCCGUCCUAGUUAAAGAUACGACUCUGGAAGGUUGGCACGAUCGUGAAGCCUUGUUGGUGGACAUCCUCUUGGCUUUGCGGUGAGGGGUCAAAUGCAGAUGUCGUGAGUUGAGAUUGGCUGGAAGGCGUGGAUGGCUCCAGUUGGAGUGAAGGCCACGAUGCAGUCCGUCCUAGUUAAAGAUACGACUCUGGAAGGUUGGCACGAUCGUGAAGCCUUGUUGGUGGACAUCCUCUUGGCUUUGCGGUGAGGGGUCAAAUGCAGAUGUCGUGAGUUUAGAUUGGCUGGAAGGCGUGGAUGGCUCCAGUAAGAGUGAAGGCCUCGAGGCAGUCCUAGGAACGCAGCUCUGUAAAGGUGGCACAGUCAUGAAUUCUUGCUGGCGAAUAACCCCUUGACUUUGACCUUUAACUUUGUACUAAAAUAUAAACCAAUUUGUAAAUGUGAACACCAUGUAGCAUUUUAAUUGUCACUUUACUCUCAUUUGUCUUUGCGAUUCUACAUGAUCUUCGCAUGCUUUUACUGUAUGUAUCAAUACAUACAAAUUGUAAUACUAUAUUAUUUUUAAAAAAAGAGUAACCAUGGAGUUUCUUGCCCGUUCUUCUCCAUAGGAAGCUACUUUUGGAAUGGGCAACUAGAAUCAAACUUAGUUAUGGUUUUGACGUCCAUAAGUGCUUGUAAAGGCCUAAAUGAAAUAAAUGAUUUGACUUUGACUUUGAGAAGUUUGAGGACAAACUUAGUGGUCAGAAUGGCCGAAUGUUAGACUAAUAUUAUCCUGUGUUGUUCUGUAUGUUAUAUUCUCUUUUCAUACAUUAAGGAACUAUACUAUAUUUACCGAAGUAUACUAAAUCAUUUUAGUUUUAUACGGACAACACUACCUCUACUGUGAGGACAACACUAAAAAGAGAUUUUGACAGUUAGAGCGCGCGCUUUACAUGCGCUUCCUUGGUGGACUGAUAAACUAUGUUUUCUUACGAUUGAUAUUAAAUUGUGUUUUAAAAGUGAAUACAAGAAGUUAUUGUGAUA